CUCACACUUUGCCUUCUGUUGUUGGCCCCUUUCCGUUUGUCAGCUCUUCCUGGAGCUGGCUGUUUGCAGGUGCGUUCCAGCACCAAUCCCACCCCAUUUAUUUCAGGGGCCUUCCUUGCACCCUAUUGGGGCCUUGCUAGAGUGGGUUUUAAGCAAGUGCUUUGCACAAGCAACCCCCCUUUGUGGAUGGUAACCUUCAUUAACCCCUCCCCCUCCAUUCAGCCUGCUACAUAAUUCUUCCACCCCUUUUUGGAUUGUGGGGAGUUGGGUUGUUUACCCCUCCCCUUAGCCCCCUCCCUUAUUCCUUUUGCCUCUUUCAUGGGGGAGGUGUGAGUUGCUCACAAGGGUGGGGGGUGUCUGCUUGUUUUGUCUUAUUAAUUAAUUAUAUAUAAUAUUAUUUUAUUAUUAAAUAUAUAAAUAAAUAGAUACGUACAUGAAUUAAUUUUCAGAUAUUUCUAGAUAUAUAAUAUCAUUUUAUUAUUAUUAAAUAAAUAAAUACAUGAAUUCAUUUUAAUAUUUAUAGAUAUGUAUUUAGAUUCCCCCCGUUCCUUUUGCUUUUUUCGCGUAGGAGGGCUUCAUAAUUUGUUGCAUUUCUUAUGCAUGGAGGAAAAGUAUAGAUGCUUCUACAAUAGCGUCUCUAAAGGGCAAUAGUUUAUUUUAAGUCUCGUGUACACUGGGCGCUGCUACCAAUUUUCUUCAGCGGCCGUUCUUUCUUCAAAGAACAGAGGACUUCCUCCUGUAGCCUGAACUGCAGGUAAGUUUUGAUACAGGCUGUAGUUGAUAAUUUGGUGUCAAUUCAGGAGCUUGGGCGUGCCAAAUAAUGGCUGGCUG